UUUCGUCAUGGAUGUAGAGUAAGACGCGAGAAUGAUCAUAGUAGAGUAAGAGGCGAGAUUUACUAGCUGGGACCACUCGUGAGGCCGGAGAAAGCUAAUGACACUAUUCAGAAAUAUUCUCAACUGCUCUCCCAUCCCGCGAUGGAUAAAGAACGAUGUAGUUUUUGUGCAACACAUGACAUCGCCGACAGCUCUGCGUUAGUAGUCCCACCGCUCUUGGUCAUAAAGUUGUCUGGAGUCAAGAAAUGUGUUCGGAAGCUCAGGCUGUCAACGUAAACAACGCCGUGCUGUUUACUUGCGUUGCUGUAUCAUGAAUGGUGAAUGACAUGCCAAUUCGUCAUGGUGGUCCUCAACACAAUACAAAGGUAAACAGUUCAGUUCACGACGGAUGUCAUCGGUGGGACAGGAUACGCUCACCUUUUCGCGAACACGUGGUACUAUCACGAUUUGAUAGUUAUUUAUAAAGUCAUGCUCAGGAUAU